GACGAACGCUGGCGGCGUGCUUAACACAUGCAAGUCGAACGGAAAGGCCCCUUUGGGGGUACUCGAGUGGCGAACGGGUGAGUAACACGUGAGUAACCUGCCCUUGACUUCGGGAUAACUUCAGGAAACUGGGGCUAAUACCGGAUAGGAAUCCUUGCUGCAUGGUGGGGGUUGGAAAGCUUCGGCGGUUUUGGAUGGACUCGCGGCUUAUCAGCUUGUUGGUGGGGUAGUGGCUUACCAAGGCUUUGACGGGUAGCCGGCCUGGGGGGGCGACCGGCCACAUUGGGACUGGGGUUCGGCCCAGACUCCUACGGGGGGCAACAGUGGGGAAUAUUGCACAAUGGGCGGAAGCCUGGUGCAGCAACGCCGCGUGCGGGAUGACGGCCUUCGGGUUGUAAACCGCUUUCAGCAGGGGCGAAGCUUGUGGUGACGGUACCUGCAGAAGAAGCACCGGCUAACUACGUG
rnacentral:rRNA from 1 species